CAGUAUCUGCGGUGUUUAUCAUGGCAGCCCAAGCAAACUAAAACAUCCAGGUAUCCCGGGAGCAGACUCCCACCACCUUUCCACACGAAGAAGCCAUCCAUUGCCCAGGGGAGCAGUCCUUCUCAUCAUUUAUCUGACAAAAGAAUAUUUUAGAGACAAAGUUGAAAAAUACCUCACCGUGUGUGAAGUAACUUUGGUGCAGCUGCAGAUCUAAACUCAUCUCGGUACUAAGUUAGAAUUGUCUGUGAAUGAUUACAAAUGAAAAUCUGUCAUUGCUGAAGGAUCUCUUCUGCAACAAAAGGCAAGAACAGGUAUUUCUUAGUAUUAUCAUGUGCUAGCAAGUGGUUUAUAUACUUGGGUUCCUGAAUGCUUUCCUGUACUUUGUUAAAUGUAUUGUUUAUCUGAACUGUAUAGGAGAAAUAUUGCUUUAAAAAGAUAAGUUCUGGGCAGUAUAAUGACUGAUUCCUCUAUGUAUGUUUACCUUUUCUUUAAAAUCCAUUGAAUUUUCUCAGCAGAUUAAAAAAAAAACAUCAUUCUCCUUCCUUUUGUCUAAAAGCAUAUUUGAUCUCUUAUUUAAAUCAACUUCAUUCAUAUCUGUGUUUCAAAAUUUGAUUUAAUUUGAACUUGCAUUAUCAAGUCAAAUACAGAAACCAUUCUUUUCUCUUGAUUUAACACUGCAAAGUACUUAUCUUAGCACAUAGGAAUUCCGUACAUAAUUGUUGUUUUAUCCAGACCUCAGCCAUUGGCUCCACCCUUAUUUUACUCCUGUCUACCCAUCCAGGAACAAAGAAAUGCAAAAUAUAAUGUGAUGUCAGAACUACAAAGGAAAAUGAAGUACAUAUUUACAGGUUUGGAACGGUGAGGCAAACAGCUUAGCAAGUUUUACAACUGGAUACAGAAGAGGAUGGCAUCUGUAAUUACAAAGGUCUGUUGAAAAGGGAGGAUGGGGCAGGUUCAUUGUAUAGUGUGGCAUCACUAUGAUGAUAAAAAUUUAGAGCUGACAGGUAUUAUCUAGUGACUCCGAUGCACUGAUUCUCAACUCGAGGUGAUUCUUCUCUCUUUCUCCAGGACAUUUGGCAAUGUCUUGAGACAUUUUUGAUUGUCACAAUUGGAGGGGGCAUAUGGCAUCUAGUGGGUUGAGACCAGGGAUGCUGGAAAACAUCUGCCCAUGCACAAGAAAGCUCCCCACAACAGAAUUUUCCAGUCCAGAAUUCAAGCGUCAAGGUUGAGAAACCCUGCAUAUCAGCUCUAUUUUAAUACUACUAUUUUUUUACAUUAUAAGUAGUACUCUUCAUAGUACUUUUCAGUAACUUGAUAUUUUUCAUGUUAAUUUAUCUCUGUGUGUGUGUUUCUCCAUCUUGCCUAUGUUGGCGCCUCCAUUUCUUCAUCACAUAAUCAAAGCUCUAUAAGAUUUCCCUUAUCAGGUAAAUUACUCAUCUUUGUUUCAUCAGUUUUUUUGUAUUUUUAAUUUUUUCCUGAGGCUGUAUAUUCUUUUAUUUGGAACAUACUUCUAUUUCUUCAUUUUCCUUGACUGUGUUGGAUUCUACGCUUUAGAUAAAACAGCCACCUCUCCCAGUCUUAAGAGUGGCCCAGUGCGGGAGAGGAACCUAUAGUUCAACCCUGCCCUACCUCUUGGUUUUCUCAAACCUCUGUGAUUGUCCAAACAGACUAUUUUAUUUUUAACGCCUGCCAGUAGUUACGGGUGUGCCCAGACCUGUGAGUGUCCCAAAGGAGGGAUCUGAGUCAGCACCUAGAUUCAGGCUGAUUGGAAGCCAGACCCUCAGGCAGCAGCUGUUAAAGUAAGCGGAUACACACAGUCCUGUGGUCUGUGCAGUGCGGGAGUUUAAGCCCCAAACUGUCAAGAGGGUCUAGACAGUAGUGUUUACCAGAGUGAGGUGGUGUAGAAGUGUCCCUAGGCAGCAGCCUCAGAAACCAGGCACCAGACGGAAACUGAGCGCCAGGCGUAAAGCCUGCAACCAGGGGUAAACCUCGCACCAGGCGAACAGCCAGGCACCGGGCAUAAAGUUGGGCAACUGGUGUAAAGCGGGCACUGGGCGUAAAGCCGGGCACCAGCCGUAAAGCGGGCACUGGGCGCAAAGCCGGGCACCAGCCGUAAAGCGGGCAUGGGGCCCGCUGCGAGCGACCUGCACGCUGGAGCGGAGCUCGGAGGUGGCGCCGGGCGCCUGCCUGUCUCCGGCCGGAGCCCCAGCAGCUCCCAGGGCGCGUUGGGUCGGACGCGGGCCGCCCAGCCCUGCUCCGGGCCCAGCAGAGCCUCCCGCGGCGCCGGCGCCGGACCCGGACCCGGGGCGGUGAGUCUGAACGCGGGGGGCCCUUCGGAGAGCUCGCCCAGGGCCCUGCUGGGGUGGCCCCGUCGGCUUUCAGAGGCUCGUCUCCCAGGCACAGGCCUUAGAAGCUGGGGGUGCCCGUGUGGGGUGCAAAGCCCUCCCUCCUCGGAGAAGUGCUCGGCCUGAGUUCCCUCGCCUGGCGAUCUCGUGCCUCAGGCUCCCCGCCCGCGUAGACGUGGGCCUUUGAGGCAUAAGGGUCGCUCGGCCAAUGUU